rnacentral:rRNA from 1 species
GACGUAGGGCGCGAGCGUUGUCCGGAUUUAUUGGGCGUAAAGGGCGCGUAGGCGGUUUGCUAAGUUGAAUGUGAAAACUCUGGGCUUAACCCAGAGCCUGCAUUCAAUACUGGCAGGCUAGAGUUCUGGAGGGGAUAGCGGAAUUCCUGGUGUAGCGGUGAAAUGCGUAGAUAUCAGGAGGAACACCGGUGGCGAAGGCGGAUCUCUGGGCCUGUCCUGACGCUGAGGCGCGAAAGCUAGGGGAGCGAACAGG